rnacentral:lncRNA from 1 species
AUGAAGAACUCCCGUAAGAUGACCCCGACCCGGGAGGAGAACCAGAGACCACAUAAGUGGGCUCUUGGGCUGCUGGUGUCUCCUUUCCUGCCGCCAUCCCUUCACAUCAGGAGAUCCUCCGUGACCUGGGAAGACUUGGCAUCACCUUGGCAUCGACCAGGUCCUGGUCUCGGUCUUUCUAAAGGGAGGAGGAGGAGUCAGGAUUCUGGCCUUGGUUUUCUUCCCUCUUCCUUCCUCCCUCCAGCUGCCUGGGCCAGGCAAGAAGCACCUCCCAAGGUCCCCUUUGCCCAGUGGCAACCCAAGUCCUUGAGAAGACCUUCAGCUUCUUGCCACCAGGGGGCGGGGUGCCCAAGCUUGGACCCCAACCCAGGCUCGCCGGCUUUUUCCAUACCAUUUUCAAGGUCAUUCUGGAAACUCAACUGGUGCCAGGACUAAACAUUUGGGUCACUGACCUCACUUCCUGGUAGCCUGAGUACAAAAGACUUUGGAGAAGGAAUCACCCGGCGGCUCCUCGCCCAGCACAGCAUCAGGGUCAAGAAACUGGCCAGCUGUGACCUCACUGGCCAGGAGGAUUCAUCCCCUCCCCCCAUGUCUAAGUAAAGCGCUCCGUUUGGUCAGGUAUCUUCACAUUUCCAUUCACACUCACCACACACACACAGCACUGGA